CCUACGGGAGGCAGCAGUGGGGGAUAUUGCACAAUGGGGGAAAGCCUGCUGCAGCGAAGCCGCGUGAGUGAAGAAGUAUUUCGGUAUGUAACGCUCUGUCAGCAGGGAAGAAAAUGACGGUACAUGACCAAGAAGCCCCGGCUAAAUACGUGCCAGCAGCGGCGGUAAUACGUAGGGGGCAAGCGUUAUCCGGAUUACCUGGGUGUAAAGGGAGCGUAGACGGCUUGGCAAGUCUGGAGUGAAAGGCGGGGGCUCAACCCCAGGACUGCACUGGAAACUGGCAGGCUGGAGUGCAGUAGAGGUAAGUGGAAUGCCUAGUGUAGCGGUGAAAUGCGUAGAUAUUAGGAGGAACACCAGUGGCGAAGGCGGCUUACUGGACUGUAACUGACGUUGAGGCUCGAAAGCGUGGGGAGCAAACAGGAUUAGAUACCCCGGUAGUC
rnacentral:rRNA from 1 species